AGUCGAACGGCAGCACGGGUGCUUGCACCUGGUGGCGAGUGGCGAACGGGUGAGUAAUACAUCGGAACAUGUCCAGUAGUGGGGGAUAGCCCGGCGAAAGCCGGAUUAAUACCGCAUACGAUCUUUGGAUGAAAGCGGGGGAUCGCAAGACCUCGCGCUAUUGGGGUGGCCGAUGGCGGAUUAGCUAGUUGGUGGGGUAAAGGCUCACCAAGGCGACGAUCCGUAGCUGGUCUGAGAGGACGACCAGCCACACUGGGACUGAGACACGGCCCAGACUCCUACGGGAGGCAGCAGUGGGGAAUUUUGGACAAUGGGCGAAAGCCUGGUCCAGCAAUGCCGCGUCUGUGAAGAAGGCCUUCGGGUUGUAAAGCACUUUUGUCCGGAAAGAAAUCCUUUUCGAUAAUACCGGAAGGGGAUGACGGUACCGGAAGAAUAAGCACCGGCUAACUACGUGCCAGCAGCCGCGGUAAUACGUAGGGUGCGAGCGUUAAUCGGAAUUACUGGGCGUAAAGCGUGCGCAGGCGGUGAUGUAAGACCGAUGUGAAAUCCCCGGGCUUAACCUGGGAACUGCAUUGGUGACUGCAUCGCUGGAGUAUGGCAGAGGGGGGUAGAAUUCCACGUGUAGCAGUGAAAUGCGUAGAGAUGUGGAGGAAUACCGAUGGCGAAGGCAGCCCCCUGGGCCAAUACUGACGCUCAUGCACGA
rnacentral:rRNA from 1 species